rnacentral:rRNA from 1 species
CUACGGGAGGCAGCAGUGGGGAAUUUUGCGCAAUGGACGAGAGUCUGACGCAGCAACGCCGCGUGGGUGAUGAAGGUCUUCGGACUGUAAAACCCUGUCGUCAGGGACGAAGGUGCGCGUGUUAAUAGCAUGCGUGCUUGACGGUACCUGGAGAGGAAGCCCCGGCUAACUCUGUGCCAGCAGCCGCGGUAAUACAGAGGGGGCAAGCGUUAUUCGGAAUUAUUGGGCGUAAAGGGCGCGUAGGCGGUUUUUUAAGUCAGAUGUGCAAUCCCCGAGCUCAACUUGGGAACUGCAUCUGAGACUGGAAGGCUAGAGUACUGGAGAGGGUGGUGGAAUUCCUCGUGUAGCGGUGAAAUGCGUAGAGAUGAGGAGGAACACCAGUGGCGAAGGCGGCCACCUGGACAGUAACUGACGCUGAGGCGCGAAAGUGUGGGUAGCAAACAGGAUUAGAUACCCUUGUA